rnacentral:rRNA from 1 species
GAUGAACGCUGGCGGCGUGCCUAAUACAUGCAAGUCGAGCGAACAGACGAGGAGCUUGCUCCUCUGACGUUAGCGGCGGACGGGUGAGUAACACGUGGAUAACCUACCUAUAAGACUGGGAUAACUUCGGGAAACCGGAGCUAAUACCGGAUAAUAUAUUGAACCGCAUUGUUCAAUAGUGAAAGACGGUUUUGCUGUCACUUAUAGCUGGAUCCGCGCCGCAUUAGCUAGUUGGUAAGGUAACGGCUUACCAAGGCAACGAUGCGUAGCCGACCUGAGGGGGUGAUCGGCCACACUGGAACUGAGACACGGUCCAGACUCCUACGGGAGGCAGCAGUAGGGAAUCUUCCGCAAUGGGCGAAAGCCUGACGGAGCAACGCCGCGUGAGUGAUGAAGGUCUUCGGAUCGUAAAACUCUGUUAUUAGGGAAGAACAAAUGUGUAAGUAACUAUGCACGUCUUGACGGUACCUAAUCAGAAAGCCACGGCUAACUACGUG